rnacentral:rRNA from 1 species
UACAGAGGCCUCAAGCGUUGUUCGGAUUCAUUGGGCGUAAAGGGUGCGUAGGCGGCGCGGUAAGUCGGGUGUGAAAUCUUGGAGCUUAACUCCGAAACUGCAUUCGAUACUGCCGUGCUUGAGGACUGGAGAGGAGACUGGAAUUUACGGUGUAGCGGUGAAAUGCGUAGAUAUCGUAAGGAAGACCAGUGGCGAAGGCGGGUCUCUGGACAGUUCCUGACGCUGAGGCACGAAGGCCAGGGGAGCAAACGGG